UACGUAGGGUGCGAGCGUUAAUCGGAAUUACUGGGCGUAAAGCGUGCGCAGGCGGUUUUGUAAGCCAGGUGUGAAAUCCCCGGGCUCAACCUGGGAAUGGCAUUUGGGACUGCAAGGCUGGAGUGUGGCAGAGGAGACUGGAAUUCCUGGUGUAGCGGUGAAAUGCGCAGAUAUCAGGAAGAACACCUAUGGCGAAGGCAGCUCUCUGGGACGGUACUGACGCUGAGACGCGAAAGCGUGGGGAGCGAACAGG
rnacentral:rRNA from 1 species